AGGCGUGGGUGUUCGGCUACGUCACUGGGGCCCUACGGUGCCUGGAGCUGGGCAGUCUUCUCGUCAGAGUGGGGACUGGUAAGAGCGACCUCCCCGCCAGGUCCUGUGUGUUGCCAGCCGAAGAAGGGUAGCUGAAAAAUUCAGACCCAGCACAGUGUUUAUGUUGGUCAAAAAUAGAAAACUAUGUCUGGCGCCGCCGAGGCGGGAGGACCCUUCAGGCCAAGAGCAGCCUAGCAACAUGGCGCAACCCCAUCUCUGUAGUCCUACCUCAGCUCCCCCCAGCUGAGGGGGGCUCAGCCCCCCAGCCCUCAAGUAUGAACCCAACGGUUCAAGGCUCCAGUGAGCUAUGAUCCCAUCACAGCAUUCCAGCCUGCGAGAUUGAGGACACAAAGACCAACGAGCCACCACAGCCACCAGUCCCAGAACCCGCUAAUGCUGGGGAACGGAAAAUGAGGGAGUUCAACUCUGGCAAGUUCUCAGCGAAAUCCACGACCUUUUCCUUUAUCUUCUGGACUCUCAAUGUGACUGAUGAAAGUUACCACAUGCUCUGCAGGGGGAAAUGGUUUAGCAUGUAUUACUACAUCUUAAUCACAUCUUUGUAAAGCCAGGAGCAUUUUGAAAGUCACGUUACAGACAUUCAGACAUUGUUUAAACAUAGUCUGUAUAUACCAAAGUAUAGGACGUUGUAUCAUCUCAUAUUAAUUAGUUAGUUGGCUCAAAAUUAGUGCUAAUGACUUAGUAAUUCAGUGAUUUCUGUUAGCUUUAAAACCUUUAUUUCAGAACUAUUUCACCUCUUGGUUUUCAUUUUUGCUGUGUGUCACUGCCUGCCAGCUGCUAAUUUAUUAACUCCCAGUGAAUCACGUGUCCUGUGAAGGGACUGAAUAUUAGUGGCAAAUUAUGUUGAUGAUUUAUAUUUUGAAUAAAUAGUUUGAAUACAUA